AUACGGAGGAUGCAAGCGUUAUCCGGAUUUAUUGGGUUUAAAGGGUGCGUAGGCGGAUGAUUAAGCGUGAGGUGAAAUGCCACUGCUCAACAGUGGAACUGCCUCGCGAACUGGUUGUCUUGAAUGCUCCUGCCGUGGGAGGAAUGUGUGGUGUAGCGGUGAAAUGCAUAGAGAUCACACAGAACACCGAUUGCGAAGGCAUCUCACGAAGGGGUGAUUGACGCUGAGGCACGAAAGCGUGGGGAUCAAACAGGAUUAGAUACCCUGGUAGUCCACGCAGUAAACGAUGAUAACUAACCGCUGGGUCGUAGUGAUUCAGUGGCCAAGCGAAAGCGAUAAGUUAUCCGCCUGGGGAGUACGGCCGCAAGGUUGAAACUCAAAUGAAUUGACGGGG
rnacentral:rRNA from 1 species